rnacentral:rRNA from 1 species
CCUACGGGGGGCAGCAGUGAGGAAUAUUGGUCAAUGGCUGAGAGGCUGAACCAGCCAAGUCGCGUGAGGGAAGAAUGUCCUAUGGAUUGUAAACCUCUUUUGUCAGGGAGUAAAGUCACCCACGUGUGGGUGUUGGAGAGUACCUGAAGAAAAAGCAUCGGCUAACUCCGUGCCAGCAGCCGCGGUAAUACGGAGGAUGCGAGCGUUAUCCGGAUUUAUUGGGUUUAAAGGGUGCGUAGUGGGGUUAUCAAGUCAGCGGUAAAAUCGUGGGGCUCAACGCCAUACAGCAGUUGAUAAUGGUGGUCUUGAGUGGGCGAGAGGUAUGCGGAAUGCGUGGUGUAGCGGUGAAAUGCAUAGAUAUCACGCAGAACUCCGAUUGCGAAGGCAGCAUACCGGCGCCCGACUGACGCUGAAGCACGAAAGCGUGGGUAUCGAACAGGAUUAGAUACCCUUGUAGUC